rnacentral:rRNA from 1 species
ACGAACGCUGGCGGCGUGCCUAACACAUGCAAGUCAACUUGAAGGAAGGAGCAAUCUGACCUGAUGGUGGCGCUAGGGUGCGUAACGCGUAAGUAACUUGCCCCAAGGUAAGGAAUAACGUCGAGAAAUCGGCGCUAAUACCUCAUAAUGCAGCGGAUCCGCAUGGAUAUGUUGUUAAAGGUUUACCGCCUUGGGAUAGGCUUGCGUCUGAUUAGCUAGUUGGUGUGGUAAUGGCACACCAAGGCUACGAUCAGUAACUGGUCUGAGAGGAUGAUCAGUCACACUGGAACUGAGACACGGUCCAGACUCCUACGGGAGGCAGCAGUGAGGAAUAUUGGGCAAUGCACGAAAGUGUGACCCAGCAACGCCGCGUGGAGGAUGAAGGUAUUCUAUAUCGUAAACUCCUGUGAGAGCAGACGAAAGACAGAUUAUUAAUUUGGAUGACUGUAUGCUCAGAGGAAGCCCCGGCUAACUACGUG